CUGCGUUACUUCCUUCCUUCCUCAGAAGGUCUGGUGACACCAAGGGCUUCAGUUCUCAAUACAGAGAAUACGAAAAAACUAAAAUCUUGCAGGUGCAAAGUUGAACUUGUCUUUUCUCUUUAAAAAGACUUUCAAAAAAAGUGUGGCUCUUCCUUCAGAAGGGUGCAGUCCCUUGCCUUUCCUCAGAUGCCAUUUAUUGCUCCUUGUUGUCCUCCUUUGCAUCUUCACAGCUUUCCUCCUCUUCCUCCUCCUGGACGAGGAACUCCUCAGGCGGCCAUCUCAGCUCCCCGCUCUCCACAUCACCCUCUGUGGGCUCCACCACGAUGGAGGGCAGGCGGUCCUUCAGCUUGCAGUAACAGUCAAAGUCAGAGGGAUCAGGGAAAAUCUGAUACGAGAGCCCAUCUUUACGGGGGCUGAGUCCGAUCUCAUCCAUAGCCGGGGUGCUCAUCAUCACUUCGGUCAUCUCGGCUGAUCUCAGGUAAUCAGGGCAGGGCAGGGGACAAAGCACAGACAUGAAGUCCCGGCGGAGGCUGCCCACGCCCUCGGGGUGGCGGCAGGGCACCGAGGCACACGACGCUGCCGGAGGACGUGAGCCGGGCUCCGUGCGGGACCACCAAGCAACGC
rnacentral:lncRNA from 1 species